CAGCAGCCACGGUAAUACGUAGGUGGCAAGCGUUGUCCGGAAUUACUGGGCGUAAAGCGUGCGCAGGCGGUUAUAUAAGUCAGAUGUGAAAUCCCCGGGCUCAACCUGGGAACUGCAUUUGAGACUGUAUGGCUAGAGUGUGUCAGAGGGGGGUAGAAUUCCACGUGUAGCAGUGAAAUGCGUAGAUAUGUGGAGGAAUACCGAUGGCGAAGGCAGCCCCCUGGGAUAACACUGACGCUCAUGCACGAAAGCGUGGGGAGCAAACAGGAUUAGAUACCCGAGUAGUCCCUGUCUCUUAUAA
rnacentral:rRNA from 1 species